rnacentral:rRNA from 1 species
UACGUAGGUGGCGAGCGUUGCUCGGAAUCACUGGGCAUAAAGGGCGUCUAGGCGGGUCGGCAAGUCGGCUGUGAAAUCCCUCGGCUCAACCGAGGAAUGGCAUCCGAUACUGUCGGUCUUGAGGGCGAGAGGGGAGAGUGGAACUCCUGGUGGAGCGGUGAAAUGCGUAGAUAUCAGGAGGAACGCCGGUGGCGAAAGCGACUCUCUGGCUCGUUCCUGACGCUGAAGCGCGAAAGCUAGGGGAGCAAACGGG